GUGAACGGUGUUUUCAGUUUUUUUAUUUUCUUCUUAUUUUCGCUCUAAAAUUUUGAUUUGCAUUCUGUUUUCUCUCCAAAUCAAAUCCAACACAAUCAAAACUCUCUCUACACAUAUGAAACACUUUCAAAAUUGGAGAAUUAUAACUUUUCCUUAUAAACAUUCUUAGAUUUCGAAAUACAAUCAUUUUUCAAGAAUAUUCAUUCCAUCCGAACUUUCUUCAAGUUUCACCGAUACUUCUUCUAAUCAUUCCGACACCCUUCGGAGCAUCGCAUGGAUCUCUCCAAAUCAUCUCUGACCGUACAUUGGCCAACUUGGUCAAAGUUCAAUAUAACGCAGCGGAGAAUCGGUAUAUUACAACUCCUCUUAACUUAAUGCCAUGUUGUCUACUAAGUUUGUUUUUUAGUUAUUUCUGUUGGUAUUUUUUAUUUAAAUUAACAGAGUUAUCAAAUUAUUCGCCUAUUUAGCAAAGAAUUAGAUUAUAAGAUUGACAUUAUUUAAAUUUAAAUUUUUUAUAUAGAAAAAAGUAUUGGAGACACUGCACAAAGUACUUGUGUUUUCAUAAUUAAGCGCAAUAAUUUUUCUAUACCAUUUAUUACAUAGAAUAAUUUUUCUGUUAAACAGUACUCUUUUUUUCCUUUUUUUUUUUUUGAUCAUGAGGGAGCAUUGUAAUUCGCACUACUUUUGGGUCAUACGAUUGUGUACAUGUAGGCAUUUUGAGUGGUAGGGUCCAGUAGACCAGCUCAGGCAAUAAUUCAGUGUUACUAUAGAUCAAUUCAGCAAAAGGCUGAUGUGGAAGAACUAAACUUGGUGUUGCGUUUUUCUUUGCUUUUAAUAUAUAUAUUUUUUGAUAUUUCGAAGUUUUUUU
rnacentral:lncRNA from 1 species